rnacentral:rRNA from 1 species
GACGAACGCUGGCGGCGUGCUUAAGACAUGCAAGUCGUACGAGAAAGUCUCUUCGGAGAUGAGUAAAGUGGCGCACGGGUGAGUAACGCGUGGGUAAUCUGCCCUUAGGUUUGGGAUAACCCCGGGAAACCGGAGCUAAUACCGAAUGAGACCACGACGACCUCGGUCGAUGUGGGAAAAGGUGGCCUCUUCUUGAAAGCUAUCGCCAAAGGAUGAGCCCGCGUUUGAUUAGCUAGUUGGUGAGGUAAUGGCUCACCAAGGCGACGAUCAAUAGCUGAUCUGAGAGGAUGAUCAGGCACACUGGAACUGAGAUACGGUACAGACUCCUACGGGAGUCAGCAGUCAGGAAUAUUGGGCAAUGGGCGAAAGCCUGACCCAGCAACGCCGCGUGAAGGAUGAAGGCCCUCGGGUCGUAAACUUCUGUCGAGAGGGAAGAAUGUGUACGGGUGAACAAUCCGUGCAUUUGACGGUACCUCCAAAGGAAGCACCGGCUAACUCCGUGCCAGCCGCCGCCGUAA